ACGGGUCUGAGUCCUAGUAUAACGUAAGCCCACACUGGUUUUCCGCCAGUCGAGAGUUUAACACAGGUGCACGGACGGGAGUAGCGGUGACGGUUCCGCCGACUCCGAGUCCUCCAAUUAGGGGAAGCGCAUAUUAUCACGUGAACCCUGCCGUGGUCUAAAGACUUGAAGCAGUUUCUAUAACAGGGAGAGAGAGGUAGAAACAAUACUUGGAGGAUAUAUCGGCAGGCGGAGAUCGGAAGAAUUUCGCUCCAGAUCCAGCAAGCCUCACUGCCCUCCAUACGGCCGUGGGGAGGAGGAUAGGAAGAAGACUAUAGCACAAAGUCUGGGCGGUGUAGGGUGCAACGGGGUCUGAGAGGCGAGCGCAUGAGGAGGGGGUAUCCAGAGACCCCUGUCCCCACACACAGUGCUUGCACACGCAAACACAGAACGUAGUUAAAGGGAGACACGGCCCCAAGGUCACCAGCAGCUAUGAGGUCUAUCCGCUCAUUCGGAAAUGAUGACCGGCAUGUCAUGGCCAAACACUCCACCAUCUACCCAUCCCCUGAGGAGCUGGAAGCUGUGCAGAGCCUCGUCUCCACUGUCGAGUGUGCCCUCAAGCACGUCUCCGACUGGAUGGACUGCUCGCAAGCUGGGCAGUCAAACCCAUCCAGUUCCCAAGAGGAGGAGGUGGAGCCCAGCACUGACGAACCAGCAGAAGGAAGUACAAACGAGGGCUGUAGCAGUGCCGAUGGCAGGGUGCUCUGCGGAGUGGUGCGGAUCGGGCUGGUGGCUAAAGGGCUGCUCAUAAAAGAUGACAUGGAUCUGGAGCUGGUGCUCAUGUGCUGUGAGAAGCCCACGCAAACACUACUGCACACUGUCUGUGACAACCUGCCUCUGCAGAUCCAGAAACUAACAGAGGAAAAGUACGAGGUACAGUGCUGCGUCCCUGAGGCGGCCAUCUUGGUUUGCAGUACAACAGAACCCAAGCUCACACUGAAGGUCACUCUCACCUCUCCGCAGAUGAGAGAGGACAGCGAGUCAGGGGGACAAGAGAGCGUUGAGUCGAGCGAGGCGACCGACCUGCUGGACAGACAGAGGUGCCUGGUAGCGCUGGCCUCACUCCGACAUGCUAAAUGGUUCCAGGCGAGAGUAAAUGGCUUAAAAUCGGGCGUGAUUGUUUUACGGAUUCUGCGGGACAUGUGCAAUCGGGUGUCGGCCUGGGAGCCUCUCAAGGGCUGGCCGCUGGAACUGCUCUGCGAGAAGGCCAUCGCAACGUGUAACCGGCCGCUGGGAGCCGGAGAAGCCUUGCGCAGAGUCAUGGAAUGCCUGGCCUCAGGAAUCCUGCUCCCAGGUGGACCAGGUCUGCACGAUCCGUGCGAGAAGGAGCUGACAGACACGCUUGCAGCCAUGACAGACGAGGAGGCGGAGGCCAUAACGCACAGUGCCCAGCAUGCUCUCCGGCUGAUGGCCUUCGGGCAGAUUUACAAGGUAUUAGACAUGGAUCCACUGCCCUCCACCAAACCAUCACAGAAAUAUCCCUGGCCUGACAAAGAAGGUGCAGGGCUAAAGAGGCCCUAUGAAGACAGUGUGAUGGACGAUAAAGACCUCAUCAAAAAGAUGAAACGCAAUUUAAGGAAAGUUCUGGACAGUAAAGCAAUAGACUGCAACCAGCCCAUGAAUGCACUGAUGCGUCUGAACCAGAUACGUCCAGGCCUGCAGUACAAGCUGCUGUCUCAGUCUGGCCCGGUCCACGCUCCUGUCUUCACCAUGUCUGUGGACGUGGACGGAAGCGUGUAUGAAGCCUCUGGAUCCUCUAAGAAGACGGCCAAGCUACAUGUAGCUGUUAAGGUGCUGCAGUCCAUGGGAUAUCUCACAGGCUUCGACACAGACCUGGACUCUAUGAGUGCCGACGAGAAGUCUGACAGCGAGGGCAAGAGUGAGACGUCCACACACUCAAGCAAUAACACAUCACACUCCACAGACAGCUCCAACACGCUGGAGGUUAGAACUCAGGGUCCUAUUUUGACGGCAAGUGGUAAGAACCCAGUGAUGGAGCUGAAUGAGAAACGGCGAGGACUCAAAUACGAGCUGAUCUCAGAGAGUGGAGGCAGCCACGACAAACGCUUCGUCAUGGAGGUUGAAGUUGACGGGCAGAAGUUCCGUGGGGCGGGGCCCAAUAAGAAAGUAGCAAAAGCGAGCGCCGCCCUCGCUGCUCUGGAGAAACUCUUCUCUGGGCCCAAUGCUGCAAGCAGUAAGAAGAAAAAGCUUCUCCCUCAGACUAAGGGAGCGAUUGCGGCUGCGGCAGCUGCUUCUGCAGUAGCAGCGCAGGCUGUUCGAGGAAGAGGAAGAGCAGCACUUACACGCGGCACCUUCAUCAGUGCUGCCGCGCCGGGCUAUGUCACACCAGGUUUCGGGAGCCCAUACGGAUAUGGUGCAGCUCCUGCUGCUCCAGCAUACGUGUCCACUUGGCUCUGCACUCUACAGCACUGAGAUGACCCAUGCAAACAGCGAUGGCUACAGGUGCACUUAGAGAGGGAGACAGAGAGGAGAGAAAGACAGGGAAGGAGAAGGACAGAGAGCUCCAUCGCCGACUCUGGUCUUCGUAGACAGUUGUGAGAAAUCAUAAUGUUUAAGGUCUAACACCCCCCCAGCCACUUCAACUUUCUUUGGUGGAUUGGGGGAGUGGGGGGGAUUACUUAAUGUAGUAUUUGUACAGCUGGGUAUAAAGAUGGAGUUUGUUGAAUUUCAAGAAAAGACAAAGCAAGGCAUUGCUUCCCCAGAGAGGACAGCUGAUAACCUUAACGUUAAACCAGAUGUUAACCCAGCUGAUGAACAAUUCUGCCAGGUUUCAAAUAGUUGUUGGCCAACAAGGCUGUCGAGACUGAACCUGGUGUUUUGAAACUGCAAGUUUCCACAAGAUGUCCAACAUUUUAGUUGACCUUUGACCCUUAAAACAUUUUCUCUUAGUUCCAAUGUAGCCUUUUCUGUUAUAACUAGAAUCACUGUACUAAUAAUCAUACUAAAAUAGUGAAUCUUUCAACUGAUUCCAUAUUGGCUAUACAUUGCAUGAAAUGUGCUUCUCAGCACACACCUGCUAACAACUGAAAGAUACAAAUUUGGACAGCCAGUGGCGAGCAGCUAUUGGCUUCCACCCUUCCAGCUCAUCCGUGGGGCGUCCCAAGCCUCCUCAUCACACCAUUUUAGUGUGUCUUACAGAUGAAUUAUUGAUCACUAAGGGAAACUUUUUGUCACAGCAGCUAUACAAGACACAUAAAGUGGACACUACAACAAUAAAAUCCUCGAACAUAGUUACCAUGCAAUAAGCAGUUGUGUAGUACAAUGUAUAAUGUUAAAGUGUCAUUCUUCAGAAUAGAAUAAAGUGUCAAAACUAAGUCAGGUGAAAUCUUUAAAUAAUAAAACGGCUGUCAUUUGUAAGUUGUGAAGGUGCACUCAGUCCAGAUUGAGGAUAUUUAUAUUUAUAUUUUUCGUGUUCCUCCAAUCAAUACUAACAGAUUGCCUUUCAAUUUCCUACGAGCAGCUAUCAUUUAAUUAUUUUACAGAGUUGUUAAUCAAAAAUGCAUCCUACUGCUAAGGAAAGGGACUUGUGUGUGUGAGACCUGAGAAUCUGGAGACUGGAGAGUUCCAUUUGUGAGCCUGCAGCUACAGUGGCAGGUCUGAGCCAGUGUGGCUUUUGCAUGAGAAACAUUUGCAAAAUAAAUUAGUGUUUUUCCCAGUGCUCUGAUUCAAAUGGUCAGGGGGAGAGACGGAGAUAGCAGUUACCCGAGCUGGUCUGAGCUUGAGCCCAUAUCAGUGAAUGUCUUUAAUGAAUACAUGAGCUGAGCUUUCUUUUUGGAAUGUAGAAUGUAUUGUCAUAGAAGAGCUAUGUGAAUUUAAAACAAGCACUCAUAUGGUCUUUGGGUAAUUUUACCCAUGUGUGUUUACAUAUCUCUCUGUUUGCUAACUUUGUGAGCGUGGCAGGUUUGUUUCUUUGUUCUUUGUUGUUUUGCCAUGCGUGCUCUUCCAUGAUGGUUUGCUGUAGAUAUGCCCCACCUCGGGUGAGCUUCAGCCAGCAGGUUGAGCAUGACCGAUUCUCUCAUGUUUCACAAUUAUUUUAUUUAUUUUCUUUUGAUGUGAUGGGAAAAUUAAAUGAAUGAAAAAUUAUUCUAGAUUUGAAAUAUUACUAAAGGUACUAAUAUAAUAAUGUGAUGUGGUGAUUGUGCACAAGUUCCGUGGGCGAGCUGUGCUUGAGUAGACAGAGUAUAAAAGAUGCCGGUAGAUGUUUGCUAGCUGUAAUAUUCAAUUAAAACUAUUAGUUGUGAAAACAUAA